AUAGUCUAAUAAUUUUUUUCCCUGAAGAUGGUGCUGAGGUUAAUCAACAAAGUUUUUGGGACUGCUUGCAAGAGAUUCAAGAAGGUGUCGAUGGACUUAUAUUAUGACAUAUGAGAUUGUGAUGAUGAAGCCCGGAAGGACUUGGACGUCAAGCUAUCAGUUUGGGCGACAUGAAUCCUAUUACUUGAUGCUCGCUUGCUACAAUGCUACUCUUGCUUUUGUAUUGUUGCUUAAAUGAUAAAACAUGUACUGAGAGAUAUUUCUGUUUACUGUUUGAUUAUAUUUGUGAUGUAUGGACAUGUGGCUACUAGAAGACAAUAUUUGUUUUGAGUAUGUUGAUGAAACUACAAAAUAUGCAUGCUAGAAUGAA